rnacentral:lncRNA from 1 species
ACCUGUAGGAGACCAGGGAGAUGGAAGUCUAGUUUGUAACCCAUUCAGGCAACAGUUAUGCUGCCAGCCACUCCCUGGGCAGUAAGAAAUGCCCAGGUGAAAGAAUGAAAGUACCAAGGACAACUGGAAGAGGGGAGCAAGGAGGGAAGAAGAUGCUGAUAGUGAUGUAAAUGUGAUGAGAAGGGUGAG